GGUGAUGCCAGCUCAGCUGAUGCUAAGGAAAAACCUCAGGAGCAGUUAAUUGAGUGUGAGAUAAGGAAAGGGUUUGAUUUGUGCCAAGGCACAGAUGUUACAGGAUGCAUGCCUGCUGUGCCUGAGAUGUUACAUUUUAUAAUACUACCUGUCCAGUCCCAAGUGUUUCCACCCCGUAGCCUUUGCUCUGGUCUGCCCCGGGCCCACUCCCUGGGAAUUGAGUCUGGGGUGCAUUUCAGGACCCUCUCUUCAUCCCCAUCACCAUCCUCAGAGCACAAAGGGUACACGGUCACCCAGUUCUUGACUCUGUUCUGUUGUUCAGGCCAAGAUAGGAGUGUUCUCUAAACAGCACAGGCCUUGCCUUGACAAGAGACUAAACAUUUCUACUGAAUUCAGGGGUAGGAUUGAUAUGGGGAGCAUGGAAUGGGGUAGGAGGGUUGAGGAAUGUGUAAACUAAAGGGUGCUAAAGGGUGAGGAAUACAAUAUAGCUACUUCUAAAAUCUACUUCUACUAUAAUGACAUAUAAAGCUUAUAAAAAUUAGCAAAGUCAAAAAAAACCUAAAAGGGUCUUAAGGCAUCACAGGGGGGUUUAAAAAUAUCCCCCCAAUAUUUGGAACUCAAUUGGCAAAGGAACUGGAGGAAUGGAAAAGUCAAAACCCUCUUGGAGCCUUGUUCCAGUGUGUGGAUAUUUUGAUAGCCACUGAUGCUGAGCAGCAAUGUUGGGAUCAGACACUAUGGAAUUUCCUUGGACUGGGUGGAUAUGGGGUGUCCCAAACACAAAGUGCAAGUAGUCCAGACCCCAGGAGCCUCCCUGGGCUUUGGAAUUCUCCAAGGACAAUGGAGGCUGGGCCAGGAAGGAAAGAAGCAACCUGUCAACUGCCCCAGCCCCAGCAAAGGAAGCCCAGAGCGGGAUUGCUUCCAGACUAGAGGAGAAGUGUAUUGGGGCACAGCUGACUUAGGAGACAGCUCCUGGGAAAGUCCUGGUUGGGAAUUGUUUCCCAGUGGGGGCAGCUUUGUCCAGCGUGGAAAACAAUUCUCUGGAUGCACAGGAACUCCCCCAGCAGGUCAUGGAACUGGGGGCACUCCUCUGCAGUGCCUCAGCCCAGAAAGCAGAACCAACUGUGCUCACUCCAGCUUUGGGAUUGAGUCAAGGAGAACAAGUUAAUCCUUGGACUUGCUUGAAGAUCUCCAGAAACCAACAGAGGCUGCUGUCCUGCACUGCAGAGUGCACCAAGAGGGGGAGACCAAAGCAGAACUGGGGAAUCAUUUGGCCCAUAAUUCUGCCAAAGAGGCUGCAGAAAAAGGCACUUUAGAGAGUAAAGUUUUGUCUUUACUAACCCUGACAGAGAUACCUCUCCCAGUAGAAAAAAAUGAGUCUAGUGCUAAGGAUUGUCAGCUCAUUGAAACCUUAGGAGCAAAAUUGGCUCCAGGAGGCUGGGCAGUUACCCCAGGUGGGCAAAUAAUAGUCCCUGAACCAGUCUGGUGUGACCUGGUGGAUGGGGAACAUGAGGGUAUUCCUUGGAGUGAAGCAAAUCAUUGAAACAUUUGCACAAGUGGGUUAUAAGUUCAAAACUGCCCCCAAUUGUACAAGCAGUGAGUCAGCAGUGUGGUGUGUGAGAGAAAUGAUCCAACCCCUGCCAAUGCAGUGGGAAUAGGUGAUGUAAAGUGUAGAAAUGUUCCAGGAGAAUGUUGGCAGAUGGAUUUGACUGAAUUGCCCAGAAAAGGGGGGUGUAAAGAUCUCCUAGUCUUGGGGGAUACCUUCUCUGGGUGGCCAGAGGCUUUUCCUUGUUGUACUAAGAAGGUUUGGAAAGAGACUGCAAUCCUGUUCAAUGCAAUCCUCCCUGUAUUUGGGAUGCCUUUGGGAAUGUCAUCAGACAGAGGUUCCCACUUAUUGUAGAAACAAAAUGCUUCACUCUUGUUUUGCUCUUCUGAACACAGUUCAAACACUGUUGACAUGGGAGGAAAAUUUACAUCUCUUUUUAGUGCCAAAUGUGAUCCAAGUGUUGUCUAAAAGUGUCUGUAUUAAGUAAGCAAGACUCUGUAAUGAAUCUGUAAACUGUGUGUGUAAUGUAAAGCCCUGUCUGGCUGUCCCUGAAGUGCUGAGACUGAACAACAGCCCCUGAGCCAAAGCUGAGCUCUAGAUGAACCUCCCAACCUAAUGGGCUGUGUCUCCAUGUAUCUGCUCAUCAGCUAAAACUGGGUCUAUUUGUUGGUACAAAUGUGGUGUGAUGGGACUCCACCUGUGUAUCUGCUCCUGAACAGACAGGUGUGCUUAUUAGUCAGAUCUGUUAGUCUGGGCUCAUUAGUGAAUCCUGUUUGUACCUGUUCAUUAAUGAAAUAUGUCUGAUUGUGAGCAAAAUGUGAUCUUUAUCCUUCUGUAUCUGGAGAGUGGUCAAGGCCAUGGCAGUCGAUGUCUGGCCUUGUUUGGCAGCAGAUGGGGCAGGGGGAGCCUUGGUUUGGGAGAAGUAGAACAUUGCUCCCAGUAUUCUGCUCUGGCCAAAUAAGGAACAAUAGAAUCUUAGAGAAGUCCUGGAGAAUUGGAUCAGGGCUGGAACUCAAGCAAACAGGAUGUGAGCUGAGCUCUGGGGACCCAGAGAAGAUCAAACCAAACAUGAUGGUCUCUGUGGGGAAAACCAAUGAUGCUGAGAACUGAGGUCAAGAAGGGGACACCUGACUUUGGGGGGGCACCAGAUGCCAAAAAACCCACCAGAGACCCCCAGAGAAGACCCCAAAUGACCAAAUAGGUACUUGCAAUAAGGGAUGUGACUGUGUAAAGCAAAGUAAUGGACAUGUGUUCAGUAAGGGAGAAUAUCCAAUGCCUCUGGAAUCAGUGUGUGUAAUCCCAAGCCCUGCCUGUGUCCCUGAGCAGGCUGGAUUAGAAGAACUCUCCUGCAGGUGUCCAGCACGCUGCCCUAAAGAAUGCCUGCUUCUUAACACCCCAACUGGGGUGAAGGGCUUGGGUUCUGCUGCUUGUGGGGAUCAUUUCUGGCCCCCAGAUGGGACCCUGUGCCUGAUCUCCCGCGGAUCCGAGGGAUCUCUGGAUCUUCACGCCGGCCCCAGGACUUUCCUGGAGAAGAGCACAGAUCCCAGGCCCAGUCUGGGAUGUGGGGAAGAUCCCAUUGGAUAAUAAGGCAUUCUUUUGGGGAAUCCUGCUCAUGUAAGAUGUGUGGAUCUUCCAGCACUUUGGGUGGGUUAUUUGGUAUUCCACGAUUUGGUGUCUGGCUUUGUUUUAUCCACUGAUCAUUGUUUUGUGUUUGUAUUUGUCUCUGUACUGUAACAUUUGCACAGGUGGGUUAGGGGUGCAAAACUGACCCAGUUGUACAAGCAGUGAGUCAGCAGUGUGGUGUGUGAGAGAAAUGAUCCAACCCCUGCCAAUGCAGUGGGAAUAGGUGAUGUACAGUGUGGAAAUGUUCCAGGUGAAUGUUGGCAGAUGGGUUUCACUGAAUUGCCCAGAAAAGGGGGGUGUAAAGAUCUCCUAGUCUUGGGGGAUACCUUCUCUGAGUGGCCAGAGGUUUUUCCCUUGUGACACCAACUGGGCUGGGGAAGUGAGUGGAAUACUGUUGAAUCCAAGAAUCCCUGGAUUCGAGGUACAUUUGGGAAUGUCAUCAGACAGAGGUUCCCACUUGAUUGUAGAAGUGGUACAAGAAGUCAAAUCAGGGAUGCAUUAUUCCAGAAUUCCAAAGGCCAGAGCCCCUUGGGUAAUUGAGAGGUUGUCUGAGAAGAAACAAAAUGCUUUAGUCUUGUUUUGCUCUCCUGACAAUAGUUAAUUGGGUCUUGACUUGGGAGCAAAAUUUACAUCUCCUUUUAGUAUCAAAUGUGACCCAAGUGUUACCUCCAAGGGAUUGUUGGGUGUGCACUCAUUUCCCUGAAAAGACAAGAAGCCAUUCACCAUUUCUGCCUCCCCUAUUCUGGCAGAAAUGAUUCCUGGUCACUGGGUGAGCACUUGUGUUCCCCAAAAAGUAGACCCAGCAGUUAGUGUGCAAGUACCCCCCCAUCUCUGACAAUCCUGCCUGUGUCCAAAGCUGUGACCCCCACUGAAGGGACAGAAGAACUGGAUUGUGUUAAUGAAAGGGGCACGUUUGUGGGAAAUCACAGCCAAUGUCCUCAAACCCUUCCUGCUGGGGAAAUGACUGAUCCUUGGCCGGUCCCCAAUGGAACAGGGUGGUGUUGGCUGUGUGGAAAUAACACCUGUGAAGGGUUGCCCCAAAGCUGGAAGAGCAUUUGUAUUUCAGCUUGCAUCAGAAUUCAGUGCUGUAGCUGUUCUAAUGCCUCGAGCUGUAAAAUGAAAUAAAGCUCCUAAGACACUCCAUCCCUUCAGGAGCUUAGUCUGAAGAAAAGGAGGGAUUUGAUGUGGGACAUAGAACACUGCUCCCAACAUUUCUCUAUGGCCAAAGAAGGCAAACCAUAAUCUUGGAGAGGUCCUAGAGAAUUCGAUCGGGGAUGUAACUAAGCAAACAGGAUGGAAGCUGAGCUCUGUGCACCCAGAGAAGAUCAAACCCAAACGUUACAGUCUUUGUGGUGAAAGGUAAUGACACUGUGUCUGCUCAGAACCGAGGUCAAGAAGUGGACACCUCAACUUUGGGGGGCACCACAUGCCAAAAAACCCCCACCAGAGACCCCUGAAGAAGACCCCAAAGGACCAACUAAGGACUUGCAAUAGGGGGUGUGACUAUGUAAAGCAAAGUAAGGGAGAAUAUCUAAGGAAUAUAGAAACUGUGUGUGUGUGAUAUAAAGCCCUGUCUGCUGUCCCUGAAGUGCUGAGGCUGAACAACAGCCCCUGAGCCAAAGCUGAGCUCUAGAUGAACCUUCCAACCUACUGGUCUAUUUAUCCAUGUAUUUGCUCCUUAGCUAAAACUGUGUAUGUUUGUUGGUCAAAGAUGUACUGUGUGCAAAGACUACCCCUGUAUCUGCCCAUGAACAAAAUAAAUGUGCUUAUUAGUGAGA